rnacentral:tRNA from 1 species
GCUUGGGUGGCUCAGCGGUUGAGCAUCUGCCUUUGGCUCAGGGCGUGAUCCUGGAGUCCUGGGAUCAAGUCCCAGGUCGGGCU